AGAAAUAACAAUACAAGGCAAUUAAAAUGCUUUGUAAUUGGAAUGAUAGAAAUUUAAACCCUUUUUAAAGUAUCAAUUGGAGGGCAAGUCUGGUGCCAGCAGCCGCGGUAAUUCCAGCUCCAAUAGCGUAUAUUAAAAUUGUUGCAGUUAAAAAGCUCGUAGUUGAAGUUCUGCUAAAAGUAACCGGUCUGCUUUUAAUAAAAGUGGUAUCUUGGUGUGUAUUUAGCAAUGAUGUCCUUUGAAGUGUUUUUUACUUUAUUGUAAUAAAGCAUAUUCAGGACUUUUACUUUGAGAAAAUUAGAGUGUUUCUAGCAGGCUAACGCUUUGAAUACUGCAGCAUGGAAUAAUAAGAUAGGAUUUUAGUUCUACAUUAUUGGUUUUAAGAGCUAAAUUAAUGAUUGAUAGGGACAGUUGGGGGCAUUUGUAUUUAACUGUCAGAGGUGAAAUUCUUAGAUUUGUUAAAGACAAAC
rnacentral:rRNA from 1 species